rnacentral:rRNA from 1 species
UUGAACGCUGGCGGCAGGCCUAACACAUGCAAGUCGAACGGUAACAGGAAGAAGCUUGCUUCUUUGCUGACGAGUGGCGGACGGGUGAGUAAUGUCUGGGAAACUGCCUGAUGGAGGGGGAUAACUACUGGAAACGGUAGCUAAUACCGCAUAACGUCGCAAGACCCAAGAGGGGGACCUUCGGGCCUCUUGCCAUCGGAUGUGCCCAGAUGGGAUUAGCUAGUAGGUGGGGUAACGGCUCACCUAGGCGACGAUCCCUAGCUGGUCUGAGAGGAUGACCAGCCACACUGGAACUGAGACACGGUCCAGACUCCUACGGGAGGCAGCAGUGGGGAAUAUUGCACAAAGGGCGCAAGCCUGAUGCAGCCAUGCCGCGUGUAUGAAGAAGGCCUUCGGGUUGUAAAGUACUUUCAGCGGGGAGGAAGGGAGUAAAGUUAAUACCUUUGCUCAUUGACGUUACCCGCAGAAGAAGCACCGGCUAACUCCGUG